rnacentral:rRNA from 1 species
AGAGUUUGAUCCUGGCUCAGAUUGAACGCUGGCGGCAGGCCUAACACAUGCAAGUCGAACGGUAACAGGAAGCAGCUUGCUGCUUCGCUGACGAGUGGCGGACGGGUGAGUAAUGUCUGGGAAGCUGCCUGAUGGAGGGGGAUAACUACUGGAAACGGUAGCUAAUACCGCAUAAUGUCGCAAGACCAAAGAGGGGGACCUUCGGGCCUCUUGCCAUCGGAUGUGCCCAGAUGGGAUUAGCUUGUUGGUGGGGUAACGGCUCACCAAGGCGACGAUCCCUAGCUGGUCUGAGAGGAUGACCAGCCACACUGGAACUGAGACACGGUCCAGACUCCUACGGGAGGCAGCAGUGGGGAAUAUUGCACAAUGGGCGCAAGCCUGAUGCAGCCAUGCCGCGUGUAUGAAGAAGGCCUUCGGGUUGUAAAGUACUUUCAGCGGGGAGGAAGGGAGUAAAGUUAAUACCUUUGCUCAUUGACGUUACCCGCAGAAGAAGCACCGGCUAACUCCGUGCCAGCAGCCGCGGUAAUACGGAGGGUGCAAGCGUUAAUCGGAAUUACUGGGCGUAAAGCGCACGCAGGCGGUUUGUUAAGUCAGAUGUGAAAUCCCCGGGCUCAACCUGGGAACUGCAUCUGAUACUGGCAAGCUUGAGUCUCGUAGAGGGGGGUAGAAUUCCAGGUGUAGCGGUGAAAUGCGUAGAGAUCUGGAGGAAUACCGGUGGCGAAGGCGGCCCCCUGGACGAAGACUGACGCUCAGGUGCGAAAGCGUGGGGAGCAAACAGGAUUAGAUACCCUGGUAGUCCACGCCGUAAACGAUGUCGACUUGGAGGUUGUGCCCUUGAGGCGUGGCUUCCGGAGCUAACGCGUUAAGUCGACCGCCUGGGGAGUACGGCCGCAAGGUUAAAACUCAAAUGAAUUGACGGGGGCCCGCACAAGCGGUGGAGCAUGUGGUUUAAUUCGAUGCAACGCGAAGAACCUCACCUGGUCUUGACAUCCACGGAAGUUUUCAGAGAUGAGAAUGUGCCUUCGGGAACCGUGAGACAGGUGCUGCAUGGCUGUCGUCAGCUCGUGUUGUGAAAUGUUGGGUUAAGUCCCGCAACGAGCGCAACCC